UAAAAUAAAUCAAAAAAUUAUUUUUGAUAUAAAAGAUAUUUUUUCGCUUGUUUGGUUCAAUAUAUAAAAUUAUUUACGGAUUUGAAAAAAAAUUGAGGUUUACAUUUUUCAUCUAUUUUUUUUAAUGAAAAGUAAAAAUUCAAGCUGUGUAAAAUUUUUUCAUUCAUAUUUUUUUUUACUGAACCAAACAAAUAUUGGUGAAAAAUUAUUUUUUUCUACAAAUCAAACCAAUACAAAACGUAAAACCCUCUUUUUUCACCGAAUUUUUAUUUUUACGAAAAAUUAUUUUUCACGGUUUUGUGUUGAACCAAAUGGACCCUAAGUGGGAUUUAGAUUGACUCUUUUUUUGCCAAAUAAUUUUUGAUCCACCAAAGAAGCCACAUAAUAUAGAGUAUGAUAUAUAUAUAUAUAAAUAUAUAGAGAGAGAGAGUUGGGCUAGAAUAAUAUUGAUAGCAAAAGAUUUUUUUGCUAUUAAGUUGUUAAUCUUUGGAUCAAUUCCUUUCAUCAUUUCUAACCAUUGAAUUAAAUAUUAUAAUCCAAUGGGGAUCACUCAAUCCAAGGAGAUCACUCAAUCCUAAUAUCAUCUUAACCCUACAAUUUCUCAUCCAAUAGUUAAAAACUUGAUAGCAAAAAGAAUAUUUUGUUAUCAAUAAUAUUCCAGCCAAGCUCUCUCUCUCUCUAUAUAUAUUAAUAUUAUAUAGCAAAGUUUUCAUUCUAAUAUUUCAUUAAUUAAUAUAAAAU
rnacentral:lncRNA from 1 species